AUUAUCUAUAUGGACAUCUGAACAAUUAGCCAAAGUUUGUACCUGUUACAUGGCAUUGAGUGUUGCAAACAGUUAGGAAGGGCAGUGUAUAUUGAGUUGUCAGUUUCACACUGCUAAAUAGACAUGGGUGCAUGCUAACGAUUUUUCAUAAAUAUGUGGAGUUCAAUUGAGGCACAAAUUAUAAUUGUACCAUUCUUUUCAUAUGAGACUAUACAUUUGGUUAUUCUUCUUGUUUUCAUGGCAAUCAAUCAAUGGCAUUAUAUUCCAAUCCAUUUAGAAGUCUUCAA
rnacentral:misc_RNA from 1 species